AAUUUAGGUAGUUUUCUUUUCACCAACAAUUUUUUUUCAAUAAGGAUAAAUUUGAAGGUGAAGAAUUUUGAGAACUCAACAACAAUAGAUAUAGCAGGCAGUGGUGAGAUCAAAGGAAUCUUGAAUAUGGAAAGCUAUGAACUUUUGAAGGUAUGUAUGAAUAUGACUAAUGUAAGCUCUCUAUUCUUGUAGUAGAUGCAAAGCUUUCAUGCUUACAACUUUGAAGCCAUUUUUUUCUAUAGCAACAGCUUAUGUUUCUUUUUACCUCUGAAUUACAAAACUUACAAUUUCCAUCACUACUAUUCAACAAGCGGGAGUUCCUUUGAACAUUCAUGACAGAGAUAAAGCAUUUCCAAUUUCAUCAUGUUGAAUAUUUGGUUUUGAAAAUGCUUAGUAUUUACAUUGGUAGUGACAAAGCUGGUUGUUAUUGCAUCGCAAUUGACCCAACAGGCAGGUAUGUUUCUUGUGUUUGUCAUCUUUGGUCCUGCAAAUCACAGUUGAAUAAGCAAUCAAAGUUGCAUAACUGCAUAUUGUUAUUUCUGUCAUCAUUUUUUCUUAGAAAGUAUAAUGGAUUAACAAAUUAUAUAUCCUCAUUAUAUUGAGACAGGAAUUUCGACGUUGGAAGUGCUGCUUCCCUUGUAAGCUUAUGGGUUAUCUCAGAGAAAAGACACAAAUUGCUAAGGUUUCUCCAAAGCAUGUCUGCAAAUAUUGGAUGAAUGGCGAUUGUGUUCGUGGUGAACAUUGCCGGAAUUUAUAUUCCUGGUUUUAUGGUGAUGGCUUUGCCACAUUAGUAAAGCUUCAAGGACACAAGAAGGCAUGGAAUAUGCAAACUGCUUCACAUUUAACUCUCGAUGGACCUAAGGGACGAGUCCUUGCCAUGGUUGUUGGCAAUGAUACACUCUUAGCUGGAGCAGAGAUUAUUGAAAUCGCAUGAUGGUGUAAUUUUUGCAUGGAGAGGCCGUUCUAAAUCCAAUUCCCCUUUUGAACUGGUUGCAUCACUACGCGGACACACUAAAUCUGUUGUUUGCCUGGCUGUUGGAUGUAACAAGAUGUUGUACUCAAGAUCCAAGGAUCAAAGCAUCAAGGUUUGGGACCUAGACAAAUUUGAGUGUAAAAUGAAACUCAAUGCGCAUACAGGAGAAGUCACAUCCCUUAUUUGUUGGGACAAAUUCUUGCUAUCCGGUUCAUCAGACUGCACUAUCAAGGUCUGGUAUAAAACCGUCGAGGAUACUUUGGAAGUUGCAUAUUCACACAAUGUAGAAAACAUUUUUUAACAUUUUUUAAGAAAUUAGAGGUUUGUUGUGUGGCUAUGAAUUGCUAUAUAAUGAAUAAUUUUGUAGACUUUGCUUGAGAAGAUGAAGUCGGUGUACACGAAUGUAGAAGGUCUUCCUCCGAAUCGAAUUGUCGAAAGCAAUUGCUUCUCCAGGGCGUGGUAUUUUGGCCAUGGAUGAAUCCAAUGCUACAUGUGGAAAGCGGUUGGAUUCAAUUGGACUAGAGAACACCGAAGCUAACUGUCAAGUAUGGCGUAAAAUUAUAUAUGAAGAAAGUGU